rnacentral:rRNA from 1 species
UACGAGUACCCCGAGCGUUAUCCGGAAUCAUUGGGCGUAAAGGGUGCGUAGGCGGUUUUGUUAGUCUUUUGUUAAAUCUUCCGGCUUAACCGGAAACCUGCAAAAGAAACGGCAGAACUAGAGGGUGCGAGGGGUCUAUGGAACUCAUGGUGUAGGGGUGAAAUCCGUUGAUAUCAUGGGGAACACCAAAAGCGAAGGCAAUAGACUGGCGCACUCCUGACGCUGAGGCACGAAAGCGUGGGUAGCGAAUGGG